GUGCCAGCCGCCGCGGUAAGACGAAGGAUGCAAGCGUUAUCCGGAUUCAUUGGGUUUAAAGGGUGCGUAGGCGGACUUGUAAGUCAGUGGUGAAAUCUCUUUGCUUAACAAAGAAACUGCCAUUGAUACUGCUAGUCUAGAGUAUAGAUGACGUUGGCGGAAUAUGACAUGUAGUGGUGAAAUACUUAGAUAUGUCAUAGAACACCGAUUGCGAAGGCAGCUAACGAAACUAUAACUGACGCUGAGGCACGAAAGUGCGGGGAUCAAACAGGAUUAGAUACCCUUGUAGUCC
rnacentral:rRNA from 1 species